UACGGAGGGUGCAAGCGUUGUCCGGAUUUAUUGGGUUUAAAGGGUGCGUAGGCGGCCUUUUAAGUCAGUGGUGAAAUCCUGCAGCUUAACUGUAGAACAGCCAUUGAUACUGGAAGGCUUGAGUACAGACGAGGUAGGCGGAAUUUAUGGUGUAGCGGUGAAAUGCAUAGAUACCAUAAAGAACCCCUAUUGCGAAGGCAGCUUACUAGGCUGUAACUGACGCUGAGGCACGAAAGCGUGGGGAUCAAACAGG
rnacentral:rRNA from 1 species